rnacentral:lncRNA from 1 species
GCCAGCCUUGGUAACAAGGAGCAUCUUCGCUGUUGGAAUCAUGGAUGAGUAAAUGGAGUUUAAGGACCCUAAAUUUUAUUUGGUUUGACCCCUUUACUUGCAAAUGGGCACCGUGAAUCCACAGAGGCUGUGACAGGCCUGCCACAUGUUCUCAGACGCUUCCCACGAUGCUCAUGGAACAACAAAAGGCUUCAUUGACCUGAAUCCAUCCGUACACUUAGAGUAACCUACACUUCCAUUUCCCUCCAAAAGGAAGUCUGAAAGAUACAGGAAACAACUGUCUGUGGUUAUGAUCCACUGAUAAUACCUGGCUCAGGGCCACAGCGGGAUGCAGGAGAGACAGAGAAGGGGAAGGAGCCACAGGGUGCAGUAAGGUCAAGAAGAACACCGGAAGAGGCCAGCCUGGUGGUGUAGUGGUUAAGUUCAAGCACUCGGCUUUAGCGGCCAAGGGUUUGCAGGUUUGGAUUCUGAAAGCAGACUUACACACUGCUCAUCAAGCCUUGCUGUGGCAGCAUCCCACAUACAAAAAAUAGAGGAAGAUUGGCAUAGAUGUUAGCUCAGCAACAAUCUUCCUCACCAAAAAAAAAAGAGAAUAACAACAAAGGAAGAAGGGAGGAGAAUGUGGUAUCAGAGGGUGAGAAGGAGAGAGAGAUGAGGAAGAGGCAAGGAGACCCCAAAAGCUUGGUCUAGAGAGCAAAGUAGGAAGACUGGGCGUUGGGGAGGGGCGUGAGACGUCGUGAGAAAACUUGGCCAAACUUGAAAUUUGACAUUUUCAAGAAGUGUCAGUCUGAAGGAUCAUAGAAAUCAAACCAGUAGCCUUGUGCUGAGAAGCCCAGCAAGAACAGUGUCUUUCAAAUAUUUGGAGAUUCUUCUUGUAACUGAAAUGAUUGGGAAUUUAUGCGACCAGCCCAAGUUGUCAUCCAUGGAACAAGGAUGAAUAGUCCAAGAAUCAGGUUCCAAGAACAAAGCAAGAUGCCCAGCCCCAAGCAAGACACUCCUUUGUCCAGCUUCCUUAGGAGUUCAAGAUGGUGACGUGAUGCAGUUCUGGCAAAUGGGAUGAAAGCAAAAGUCUAUUGGGAGCCUCUGGAGCAGGUUUAUUUCUGCUGAUGUGAAGGGGCAGGUGCUGAUGGCUCAGUCCCUCCCUCCCUGUCUUCUACAGAAGGAGACAGAUGCAAUGGACACCUGGCAACCACCAGAAACAAG